AUAGUCAUACAACUUGAACAACAUAGAUGCUGACAUAGGAACUACAUAGAUAAGGUUAGCAUGACCCCUGCACAAAAACGACACACAAAUUUGGCAAGAACUCCUUUUUUUA
ensembl:snRNA LOC120097200 U6 spliceosomal RNA